rnacentral:misc_RNA from 1 species
CUAUGUUAUUAAGAGAUCGAGUACCUUGCUUCUCAUUUCUCGCCUUUCACGCGCCUCCACACACUCGUCGCAAGUGUAACAGCACACCUGCAAGAAACCUCGCGGGCAGCCAUGGCGCCUGACUCUUGCUGCUGUGGGUUGUGGAAUAGGAGGAAAGACGCUGAUCGCCACCCCACUGCAGAGAACAUAGAAGAAAAUCCUACUCCAAUUGAGGCAGUUAUCAGCACAGAAAAAGAGAAUGAAGAGGAAAGUAU